UAAUACGUAGGGCGCAAGCGUUGUCCGGAAUUAUUGGGCGUAAAGAGCUCGUAGGCGGCUUGUCACGUCGGGUGUGAAAGCCCGGGGCUUAACCCCGGGUCUGCAUUCGAUACGGGCUAGCUAGAGUGUGGUAGGGGAGAUCGGAAUUCCUGGUGUAGCGGUGAAAUGCGCAGAUAUCAGGAGGAACACCGGUGGCGAAGGCGGAUCUCUGGGCCAUUACUGACGCUGAGGAGCGAAAGCGUGGGGAGCGAACAGGAUUAGAUACCCUGGUAGUCCACGCCGUAAACGGUGGGAACUAGGUGUUGGCGACAUUCCACGUCGUCGGUGCCGCAGCUAACGCAUUAAGUUCCCCGCCUGAGGAGUACGGCCGCAAGGC
rnacentral:rRNA from 1 species